rnacentral:rRNA from 1 species
UACGUAGGUGGCAAGCGUUAUCCGGAAUCACUGGGCGUAAAGCGUUCGUAGGCGUUCUUGUAGGUCUCUGAUCAAAUUCACGAGCUCAACUCGUGUCCGGUUGGAGAAACCCCAAGAAUAGAAGGGUAUCGAGGUAAGUGGAAUUUGUGGUGUAGCAGUGAAAUGCGUUAAUAUCACAAGGAACACCAAUGGCGAAGGCAGCUUACUAGGUACAUCUUGACGCUGAGGAACGAAAGCGUGGGGAGCAAACGGG